rnacentral:rRNA from 1 species
UACGUAGGGUGCAAGCGUUGUCCGGAAUUAUUGGGCGUAAAGAGCGUGUAGGCGGCCCCUUUAGUCCGCUGUGAAAGUCCAGGGCUCAACCCUGGAAUGCCGGUGGAUACUGUGGGGCUAGAGUCCGGAAGGAGCGAGUGGAAUUCCUGGUGUAGCGGUGAAAUGCGCAGAUAUCAGGAGGAACACCAAUGGCGAAGGCAGCUCGCUGGGACGUGACUGACGCUGAGACGCGAAAGCGUGGGGAGCAAACAGG